GCGGCGGGAGGGAGCGGUGGCCGGCGCCUCACGAACUCUGUCCCGCCGCUGCUCUGCGCUCUGGGGCGAUGCCUGUCCCGUGCUGUUACAGCCGGGCAGCCGCGGGCCCUUCCCCCGUUCCCGUGAGUCACACGGGGGGGUGAGGGGAGAGAGCAGGAAGCGCCGGAGCCGCCACAUUGCCCUUAUAAGGCCUCGACUCGACGGCACCGGGAGCUGCUUCCGCCUGCCCAGGUCCUGCUGCACAUCUCCUGCUGUACCCCACAGAGCCUUCCCACAUCCCCUUCCCACAUCCCCGUCCCCGCCCCACACGCCUUCCUCACACCCCACACCAACCCCCCCCAUCUCCCCCUGCCCCAGUCCAUCCCCCACAUCGACCCAUCCCAGCACCUCCUCAACCCCCACCUCUGCCCCCACCACCCCCUGAACACCUGGGGGGAAGGGCCCUGCCCCACAACCUGCCAGGAUACCUAAGGUUCCUGACCCCCAAUUCCCCACUGCCCUUUCUCUUCCCCCUAUAUGUCCCCCAGCCCCCUUGUUCCAUCCUACCACCCCCCCAAAUAUCCCCCACUCCCCUUUAUUCCAUCCUACACCCCCCAUCUGACCUCCCCUCGCUGCCAGCGCAGCCUGCCCCACAAGUGCAGCCCUCCAAUAAAGCCUCUGCCCCAUAA